UACAUAGGUCCCAAGCGUUGUUCGGAUUCACUGGGCGUAAAGGGUGCGUAGGUGGUGAGGUAAGUCGGAUGUGAAAUCUCCGAGCUCAACUCGGAAAUGGCAUUGGAAACUACCUUGCUCGAGGGUUGGAGGGGGGACUGGAAUGCUUGGUGUAGCAGUGAAAUGCGUAGAUAUCAAGCGGAACACCAGUGGCGAAGGCGAGUCCCUGGACAAUUGCUGACGCUCAGGCACGAAAGCGUGGGGAGCAAACGGG
rnacentral:rRNA from 1 species